UGUAGGGUGGUGAAACAGGCAGACACACCUCCUUGUCUCGGUGGUGGAGAAUAAUGGGAAUAUACCGGUUUCGGUACUAACCACUCCUUGAAGGUUCGAUUCCUUCCCCUACAG
rnacentral:tRNA from 2 species